AACGAACGCUGGCGGCGUGCUUAACACAUGCAAGUCGAACGGAAAGGCCCUGCUUUUGUGGGGUGCUCGAGUGGCGAACGGGUGAGUAACACGUGAGUAACCUGCCCUUGACUUUGGGAUAACUUCAGGAAACUGGGGCUAAUACCGGAUAGGAGCUCCUGCUGCAUGGUGGGGGUUGGAAAGUUUCGGCGGUUGGGGAUGGACUCGCGGCUGAUCAGCUUGUUGGUGGGGUAGUGGCUUACCAAGGCCUUGACGGGUAGCCGGCCUGAGAGGGUGACCGGCCACAGUGGGACUGAGAUGCGGCCCAGACUCCUACGGGAGGCAGCAGUGGGGAAUAUUGCACAAUGGGCGGAAGCCUAAUGUAGCAAAGCAGCGUGCGGGAUGACGGCCUUCGGGUUGUAAACCGCUUUCGCCUGUGACGAAGCGUGAGUGACGGUAAUGGGUAAAGAAGCACCGGCUAACUACGUG
rnacentral:rRNA from 1 species